ACUCCUACGGGAGGCAGCAGUGGGGAAUUUUGCGCAAUGGGCGAAAGCCUGACGCAGCAACGCCGCGUGAGUGAUGAAGGCUUUCGGGUCGUAAAGCUCUGUCAGGGGGAAAGAAGUGUAUUGUGGCUAAUAUCCACGAUACUUGACGGUACCCCCAAAGGAAGCACCGGCUAACUCCGUGCCAGCAGCCGCGGUAAUACGGAGGGUGCAAGCGUUGUUCGGAAUUAUUGGGCGUAAAGCGCGUGUAGGCGGUUUGGUAAGUCUGAUGUGAAAGCCCCGGGCUCAACCCGGGAAGUGCAUUGGAAACUGGCAGACUUGAAUACGGGAGAGGGUAGUGGAAUUCCUAGUGUAGGAGUGAAAUCCGUAGAUAUUAGGAGGAACACCGGUGGCGAAGGCGGCUGCCUGGACCGAUAUUGACGCUGAGACGCGAAAGCGUGGGUAGCAAACAGGAUUAGAUACCCUGGUAGUCCACGCCGUAAACGAUGAGAACUAGGUGUCGCGGGUA
rnacentral:rRNA from 1 species